GUUGUUGGUUUUGUCCUGAGACAUGGGCUGCCACAACUCCCGGCGCCUGGCGGCCCGCAGCGACCAGCGCCGGCGCUCGCGCGACAGCACCCCCGAGAAGGACCGCGGGCGGCC
rnacentral:ribozyme from 1 species